rnacentral:rRNA from 1 species
AUGGCCUCCACCUGUGCCCUCUUGCAGGUGGACUGCUGGUCAUUGAUGUGGCAAGUCGGGCUCUUGCAGCAAAAUCUACGAUAUUCUCUGGAUGAGCUGCAGGUAGGCCAGGCUGUUCACGAGGAUCCAACAACGACCACCAAGGUACACAAACAACAAUGUAACAACUCUAGAAAUCUACAUCUUAAUGCUGCCCUAUUUUUGGGGAUUCAAAUCUCCAGGCUGGAAUCAACAGGCCCACAUAAUCUUCAGUCUUCCACAAUUAUGUUUUGCUUCAUGUUCUAUGAUCAGGCUGUAAUCUGCUGGUGCGGUGCUGCCCUGCUUUGA